rnacentral:piRNA from 1 species
UGUCAAGCUUGUUCAACUUAAAUUUCCAG